rfam:Methylomicrobium alcaliphilum str. 20Z chromosome, complete genome.
GAGAGCCGUGUGCGGGAGAACCGCAUGCACGGUUCGGAGGGAGGGGAGAGAAAUCUUCCCUACCCCUAU